rnacentral:sRNA from 1 species
ACUGAAAAGGUUGUUUCGCCGUAGAAAGCCGGUGCCUGAUCUCAGGCUUAAUAUCCUGCCGAGGUGGAGACUAGUGAGAAUUCACAACCCUGUUCAUAAGGGUCGAAAGUCUUUGCCUGGCGGAAGCAAGGCAAAGACUUUUUUAUUAUCCUG